rnacentral:sRNA from 1 species
GCAGCAUACGCCGAGCCGGUCUUUGAGCGCUAACGUCUUUCUGUGUCCCCGCGGUGGUGAUGACGGUGAAAACUGAGGCUGCUAAGGGCACCCUCACUUACUCCAGGAUGAGGGGCAUGGUGGCAGUUCUCAUCGCUUUCAUGAAGCAGAGGAGGAUGGGUCUGAACGACUUUAUUCAGAAGAUUGCCAAUAACUCCUAUGCAUGCAAACACCCUGAAGUUCAGUCCAUCUUGAAAAUCUCCCAACCUCAGGAGCCUGAGCUUAUGAAUGCCAACCCUUCUCCUCCAGUAAGUUUUUGUAUGUGCCGUGCAUCUGUGGAGAACUGUAAGGGAGUCAGUUAGUAUUCCUACAUUAAUGGAUUAAAAUAGCAUUUCUAGAAAUUAGUAUCAAGGCAGGAAUGCUUCAUUAUGGCAUAACAAGUGAUAUAAAUAUUUAAGUAUUGAGUCAGAGUAUUAUUUUUUUUCCUGGGCAUAUUUUACUUCCAAAGUGGUUAUUUUAAAAGGCAUAUUUCAUAAAAAGGUUUUAUCUGUCUGAAACAACAUGAUUGUGUGCAGUUUCCAUACUCAUUUGAAAUGUGAUGAAAUGUAG